rnacentral:rRNA from 1 species
UGCCAGCAGCCGCGGUAAUACGGAGAGGGCAAGCGUUGUUCGGAAUCACUGGGCAUAAAGCGCACGUAGGCGGAUUAGAAAGUCGGUUGUGAAAGCCCGGGGCUCAACCCCAGAACUGCUUCCGAAACUUCUAGUCUUGAGGGUGAGAGGGGAGAGUGGAACUUCUGGUGGAGCGGUGAAAUGCGUAGAGAUCAGAAGGAACACCGGUGGCGAAAGCGACUCUCUGGCUCAUUUCUGACGCUGAGACGCGAAAGCGUGGGGAGCAAACAGGAUUAGAUA